CCCUCAGUAUGGUGAUAAUAUGGUAUGGUGAUGAUAUGGUAUGGUGGUAAUAUGGUAUGGUGAGGUCCCUCAGUAUGGUGAUAAUAUGGUAUGGUGAUGAUAUGGUAUGGUGGUAAUAUGGUAUGGUGAUAAUAUGGUAUGGUCUCUCAGUAAUAACCAGGUGGUCAGUCUCCAGGUUGUGUGUGUACCUCUCCUCAGUAAUAACCAGGCGGUCAGUCUCUAGGUUGUGUGUGUACCUCUCCUCAGUAAUAACCAGGCGGUCAGUCUCUAGGUUGUGUGUGUACCUCUCCUCAGUAAUAACCAGGCGGUCAGUCUCUAGGUUGUGUGUGUACCUCUCCUCAGUAAUAACCAGGCAGUCAGUCUCUAGGUUGUGUGUGUACCUCUCCUCAGUAAUAACCAGGCGGUCAGUCUCUAGGUUGUGUGUGUACCUCUCCUCAGUAAUAACCAGGCAGUCAGUCUCUAGGUUGUGUGUGUACCUCUCCUCAGUAAUAACCAGGCGGUCAGUCUCUAGGUUGUGUGUGUACCUCUCCUCAGUAAUAACCAGGCAGUCAGUCUCUAGGUUGUGUGUGUGUGUACCUCUCCUCAGUAAUAACCAGGCGGUCAGUCUCUAGGUUGUGUGUGUGUGUACCUCUCCUCAGUAAUAACCAGGCGGUCAGUCUCUAGGUUGUGUGUGUGUACCUCUCCUCAGUAAUAACCAGGCGGUCAGUCUCUAGGUUGUGUGUGUACCUCUCCUCAGUAAUAACCAGGCGGUCAGUCUCUAGGUUGUGUGUGUACCUCUCCUCAGUAAUAACCAGGCGGUCAGUCUCUAGGUUGUGUGUGUACCUCUCCUCAGUAAUAACCAGGCGGUCAGUCUCUAGGUUGUGUGUGUACCUCUCCUCAGUAGUAACCAGGCGGUCAGUCUCUAGGUUGUGUGUA